rnacentral:rRNA from 1 species
GACGAACGCUGGCGGCGUGCUUAACACAUGCAAGUCGAACGGAAAGGCCCCUUUGGGGGUACUCGAGUGGCGAACGGGAGAGUAACACGUGAGUAACCUGCCCUUGACUUCGGGAUAACUUCAGGAAACUGGGGCUAAUACCGGAUAGGAAUCCUUGCUGCAUGGGGGGGGUUGGAAAGCUUCGGCGGUUUUGGAUGGACUCGCGGCUGAUCAGCUUGUUGGUGGGGUAGUGGCUUACCAAGGCUUUGACGGGUAGCCGGCCUGGGAGGGCGACCGGCCACAUUGGGACUGGGAUACGGCCCAGACUCCUACGGGAGGCAGCAGUGGGGAAUAUUGCACAAUGGGCGGAAGCCUGAUGCAGAAACGCCGCGUGCGGGAUGACGGCCUUCGGGUUGUAAACCGAUUUCAGCAGGGGCGAAGCUUGUGGUGACGGUACCUGCAGAAGAAGCACCGGCUAACUACGUG